rnacentral:rRNA from 1 species
UACAGAGGGUGCGAGCGUUGUUCGGAAUUAUUGGGCGUAAAGCGCUUGUAGGCGGCCUGUUAAGUUCCGUGUGAAAUCCCCAGGCUUAACCUGGGAAGUGCGCGGAAAACUGGCGGGCUUGAGUGCCGGAGAGGGUCGCGGAAUUCCCGGUGUAGAGGUGAAAUUCGUAGAUAUCGGGAGGAACACCAGUGGCGAAGGCGGCGACCUGGACGGACACUGACGCUGAGACGCGAAAGCGUGGGGAG